AGGUGAAGGAUUAGUGGUUCUUCACCACAGGACUGUUCUGUGAUGGAGCAUCAGUGAUGAUGCAGGUCAGGAGUAAUGAGGGGACCAUGGUGAGAAUGAAAACAAAAGCCUCAAUCCUCAACCUCAGCCGUAUAAAUCUUUUGGAGAUUUUUCCUUCUACUCCAAAGCAUGAUGGAAGCCUGCUGGAGAGUGACUGAGCUUCUUUCUCCAACACAUCCACUGCAUUGGGGAGCUCCAUGAGGAUUGUUAUCUGUUUGCCGUGUUGCAGUUUUGCAUUUUCCACAGAUGCUGGCAAAUCGGAUUAAUUUGUGGACAAUGUAGCCUGCGAGAUGGAAGAGAAUACAUUUCUCUGUUUUUGUGAGGUCAGGUGCUGUUCUGUUCUCCACCAUCAGCUGUUCCACUCUGACUGAUGGAGUGACGUUUUGUUUCACUGUUUCCAGGAAGUCUGCCAAAAAGCUACUGUCAUCUUCCUGGUAGCUCCCAGACGUGAUGGUGGUGAGGAACUGCC